GCCUAAAGCGUCCGUAGCCGGCUCUGUAAGUUUUCGGUUAAAUCCAUAUGCUCAACAUAUGGGCCGCCGGGAAUACUGCAUAGCUAGGGAGUGGGAGAGGUAGACGGUACUCCGUAGGAAGGGGUAAAAUCCUUUGAUCUAUGGAUGACCACCUGUGGCGAAGGCGGUCUACCAGAACACGUUCGACGGUGAGGGAUGAAAGCUGGGGGAGCAAACCGGAUUAGAUACCCGGGUAGUCCCAGCUGUAAACUAUGCAGACUCAGUGAUGCAUUGGCUUGUGGCCAGUGCAGUGCCGCAGAGAAGUCGUUAAGUUUGCCGCCUGGGAAGUACGUACGCAAGUAUGAAACUUAAAGGAAUUGGCGGGGGAGCACCACAAGGGGUGAAGCCUGCGGUUUAAUUGGAGUCAACGCCAGAAAUCUUACCCGGAGAGACAGCAGGAUGAAGGUCAAGCUGAAGACUUUACCAGACAAGCUGAGAAGUGGUGCAUGGCCGUCGCCAGCUCGUGCCGUGAGGUGUCCUGUUAAGUCAGGUAACGAGCGAGAUCCUUGCCUCUAGUUGCCACCAUUACUCUCAGGAGUAGUGGGGCGAAUUAGCGGGACUGCCGUAGUUAAUACGGAGGAAGGAGAGGGCCACGGCAGGUCAGUAUGCCCCGAA
rnacentral:rRNA from 1 species